UACGUAGGGUGCAAGCGUUGUCCGGAAUUAUUGGGCGUAAAGAGCUCGUAGGCGGUUUGUCGCGUCGAAUGUGAAAACCCGGGGCUCAACUCCGGGCCUGCAUUCGAUACGGGCAGGCUAGAGUUCGGUAGGGGAGACUGGAAUUCCUGGUGUAGCGGUGAAAUGCGCAGAUAUCAGGAGGAACACCGAUGGCGAAGGCAGGUCUCUGGGCCACUACUGACGCUGAGAAGCGAAAGCAUGGGGAGCGAACAGG
rnacentral:rRNA from 1 species